GCUGGGCAUGGUGGCGCAUGCCUGUAAUCCCAGCUACUUGGGAGGCUGAGGCAGGAGAAUUGAUUGAAUCCAGGGGGUGGAGGCUGCAAUGAGCUGAGAUCGCACCACUGCACUGCAGCCUGGGUGACAAAGCAAGACUCAGCCUCGA
ensembl:misc_RNA Metazoa_SRP Metazoan signal recognition particle RNA